rnacentral:lncRNA from 1 species
GUGAUGGAAGCGGAAGUCAUCGUACGUUGUGGUAGAUCGGUAGCUCUGAUACCAUAAAAACCAAGCUAUCGAGAGAGAUUGAUUAGGGUGGAACGCAAGCACAAACGGCCAGCCCCUUGUUCCUUUGAUAUUGCAUAUGCAUAGGUUACAGAUGGAGUCUCAAUACAACACGUGGUAAAAUCAAUAUACAAUUCUAACUAGAUCAAAACGUAAUCUACCUGUUAGUUUAACACUAGCAACUCGAGGAUCGGUUAGUUCGAGGUUUCUCAGAUCCGUGAGUGCAUAGGUGGGUUGUUGAGAUGUGUUUCUCCCCUAAAGUUGUUCUCGUUGGGUUUACCCAAAGAUCAAGACAUGAAGACGCACACGCAGAAACGAUUACACAAUUAUUUGGCUAAGGACGCGUAUCGUGUCUUUUAUUUUUCUUUUAUUUUUUUCUCACAAAUUCACGACCUGAUUACAAGCUAUGCUGACUACGCGUGUGUUUAUACACGCACGGCCAGGACACACCUAAUACUAUUCGGACUCCAACUCCAACUCGUACUUGAACCUAGCUUUACUCCUAACUCACACACGGGCAUGACUCUUAAUCCUACUUGACUAGCACUCUCAAACUCACCUAAUCCUGGUAGAACCCAAACUCAAGAUUAAUUCUAACAAUCUUCCCCAAAUCUUGAAGUUGUUGUCUUCAGCACUCCCCCGAUCUUGGCUUUUUCUUCAGCUUCACGACUUGCCGACUCAGCUCAACAUAUGAUCUUGACUCUCAGCCACGCUAACCUUGUGUACUACACCGUCCACUCCUAGCGCAAAACAUCCACAUGCUACUAAUCACAUAGUCUCAUGCAGGAAACAUGGCCUCAUUGAAGAGACUCAUCACUGGUUACCGCCUCACAAUACUCUUGAGCUUUCGUCUUCUUGCCGAGACACACAAAUGACAACCCGUCACCUUGUCUGCACGCACGUCUUCGCCCUCAGUGAUGCACCUCACCGGACAGCCCUUCGACUGUGACGCA